rnacentral:rRNA from 1 species
AUGGCGUGUUGGCGGAAGAAGGUCGUGUUCCGGGCGCGCCGUGCGUGGGCCGCCGUCUCCGGCCGCCUCCUCCGCGGCAGCAAGUCCGGCAGCGGCGGGAUACUGAAGCUCCACGAGGACGUGCAGACCUGCGGGUACCAGGACGUGCAGGUCAUGUUCGACAUGCUCACCUCUGAGCUGGAGGCGGCGCACGCCCGCAACCGCAAGCAGCCUGCAUCACCGCCGACGGCGUGGUCCAGCCGCUUGUCGUUGUCCUCCGCCUGA